GAUGAACGCUAGCGGCAGGCUUAAUACAUGCAAGUCGAGGGGCAGCAUGACUGUAGCAAUACAGUUGAUGGCGACCGGCAAACGGGUGCGGAACACGUACAGAACCUUCCUUCGAGCGGGGAAUAGCCCAGAGAAAUUUGGAUUAAUACCCCAUAGCAUAACGGAGUGGCAUCACUUUGUUAUUAAAGAUUUAUCACUUGAAGAUGGCUGUGCGGCUGAUUAGGUAGUUGGCGGGGUAACGGCCCACCAAGCCUGCGAUCAGUAACUGGUGUGAGAGCACGACCAGUCACACAGGCACUGAGACACGGGCCCGACUCCUACGGGAGGCAGCAGUAAGGAAUAUUGGUCAAUGGACGAAAGUCUGAACCAGCCAUGCCGCGUGGAGGAUGAAGGUCCUCUGGAUUGUAAACUCCUUUUAUAUGGGACGAAAAAAGGCUUUUCUAAGUCGUCUGACGGUACCAUAUGAAUAAGCACCGGCUAACUCCGUGCCAGCCGCCGCGGUAAGAC
rnacentral:rRNA from 1 species